rnacentral:rRNA from 1 species
GGCCGUCGAAGGUGAAACCAAUGACUGGGGUGAAGUCGUAACAAGGUAGCCGUAUCGGAAGGUGCGGCUGGAUCACCUCCUUUCUAAGGAG